rnacentral:tRNA from 1 species
GCCUUCGUGGGGCAGUGGUCAGCUCGGUGGGCGCGUAUUCCAAAAGGCCCGUGGUUCGAGUCCCGGCGAAGGCG